CAAGCGUGAGGUAAGGGCAUCUGGUGAAUGCCUUGGCAUGUACAGGCGAUGAAGGACGUGGCACGCUGCGAUAAGCGUGGGGGAGCUGUGAGCAAGCUUUGAUCCCGCGAUUUCCGAAUGGGACAACCCACCUUCACCAUUUAAUUCCGUUGUUGGCGGUUCUUUCGGGAGCUGGCAGCCGCGUAGUUAAAUGGGAGAGGUAUCACUAAGCUGAAUAAAAUAGGCUUUGGUGAAGCGAACCCGGAGAACUGAAACAUCUCAGUACCCGGAGGAAAAGACAUCAACCGAGAUUCCGUUAGUAGUGGCGAGCGAACGCGGACCAGGCCAGUGCCUGGUGCUUAAUUAGCAGAACGAUCUGGAAAGUUCGGCCAUAGCGGGUGACAGCCCCGUAUGCGAAAAUGAAGCAUCAGGACUUGAGUAGGGCGGAGCACGUGAAACUCUGUCUGAACAUGGGGGGACCACCCUCCAAGCCUAAAUACUCGUACAUGACCGAUAGCGAACCAGUACCGUGAGGGAAAGGUGAAAAGCACCCCGAUGAGGGGAGUGAAACAGUACCUGAAACCGGAUGCCUACAAGCAGUGGGAGGGUCCUUGAGACCUGACCGCGUACCUCUUGCAUAAUGGGUCUGUGACUUAGUGUAUCAUGCAAGCUUAAGCCGUUAGGUGUAGGCGCAGCGAAAGCGAGUCUGAAUAGGGCGACUGAGUAUGAUGCAUUAGACCCGAAACCCGGCGAUCUAGGCAUGACCAGGUUGAAGGUGCGGUAACACGCACUGGAGGACCGAACCGUUUAAUGUUGAAAAAUUAUCGGAUGAGUUGUGUUUAGGGGUGAAAGGCCAAUCAAGCCGGGAAAUAGCUGGUUCUCCGCGAAAUCUAUUGAGGUAGAGCGUCGGAUGAUUGCCGUUGGGGGUAGAGCACUGGAUGGUUGCGGGGGUCGCGAGAUCUACCAAUACUAACCAAACUCCGAAUACCAACGAGUCUAGUCCGGCAGACAGACGGCGGGUGCUAAGGUCCGUCGUCAAAAGGGAAACAGCCCUAACCUACAGCUAAGGUCCCCAAGUCACGUCUAAGUGGGAAAGCAUGUGGGAUUUCCAAAACAACCAGGAGGUUGGCUUAGAAGCAGCCAUCCUUUAAAGAAAGCGUAACAGCUCACUGGUCUAAAUAAGAGAUCCUGCGGCGAAGAUGUAACGGGGCUCAAGACGUGCACCGAAGCUUAGGGUGUGAUCGUUUACGAUCACGCGGUAGCGGAGCGUUCCGUAGGCCGUUGAAGCGAUCUGGUAAUGGGUCGUGGAGGUAUCGGAAGUGCGAAUGCAGACAUGAGUAGCGAUUAACAGUGUGAGAUGCACUGUCGCCGAAAUUCCAAGGGUUCCUGCUUAAAGCUAAUCUGAGCAGGGUAAGCCGGCCCCUAAGACGAGCCCGAAGGGGGUAGUCGAUGGGAACCACGUUAAUAUUCGUGGGCCUGGAGGUGUGUGACGGAUGGCGUAAAUUGUUCGGCCUUAUUGGAUUGGUCCGGGCAGUGAAGUUGUCCCAGGAAAUAGCCCCUCCGUAUAGACCGUACCCUAAACCGACACAGGUGGAAUGGUAGAGUAUACCAAGGCGUUUGAGAGAAGUAUCCUGAAGGAACUCGGCAAAUUGCCUCCGUACCUUCGGAAGAAGGAGGCCCCACAUUAAGGCAACUUUUUGUGGGGGGCACAGGCCAGGGGGUAGCGACUGUUUAGCAAAAACACAGGGCUCUGCUAAGUCGGCUUCAAGACGACGUAUAGGGCCUGACGCCUGCCCGGUGCCUGAAGGUUAAGAGGAGGAGUGCAAGCUCUGAAUUGAAGCCCAGGUAAACGGCGGCCGUAACUAUAACGGUCCUAAGGUAGCGAAAUUCCUUGUCGGGUAAGUUCCGACCUGCACGAAUGGCGUAACGACUUCCCCACUGUCUCCAGGAUAUGCUCAGCGAAAUUGAAUUCUCCGUGAAGAUGCGGAGUACCCGCGGUUAGACGGAAAGACCCCGUGCACCUUUACUGCAGCUUCAGAGUGGCAUUAGGAAAGAACUGUGUAGCAUAGGUGGGAGGCUUUGAAGCGAUGACGCCAGUUGUCGUGGAGCCAUAGGUGAAAUACCACCCUGUUGUUUUCUGAUGUCUAACCUCGCACCGUUAUCCGGUGCAGGGACCCUCUGUGGCGGGUAGUUUGACUGGGGCGGUCGCCUCCUAAAGAGUAACGGAGGCGCGCGAUGGUGGGCUCAGGACGGUUGGAAACCGUCUGUUAGAGUGCAAUGGCAUAAGCCCGCCUGACUGCGAGACUGACAAGUCGAGCAGAGACGAAAGUCGGUCAUAGUGAUCCGGUGGUCCCUCGUGGAAGGGCCAUCGCUCAACGGAUAAAAGGUACGCCGGGGAUAACAGGCUGAUGAUUCCCAAGAGCUCAUAUCGACGGAAUCGUUUGGCACCUCGAUGUCGGCUCAUCACAUCCUGGGGCUGGAGCAGGUCCCAAGGGUUUGGCUGUUCGCCAAUUAAAGUGGUACGUGAGCUGGGUUCAGAACGUCGCGAGACAGUUUGGUCCCUAUCUGCCGUGGGCGUCGAAAUUUGAGAGGAGUUGACCCUAGUACGAGAGGACCGGGUUGAACAUACCUCUGGUGUACCUGUCGUCGUGCCAACGGCGCAGCAGGGUAGCUAUGUAUGGACGGGAUAACCGCUGAAAGCAUCUAAGCGGGAAGCCUCCCUCAAGAUAAGAUUUCUUCGAGCGGUCGUAGACCACGACCUUGAUAGGCCGGAUGUAGAAGUGUGGUAACAUAUGGAGCUAACCGGUCCUAAUUGCUCUGAUCGCGCCUGAG
rfam:Sphingobium chungbukense strain DJ77 contig00005, whole genome shotgun sequence.